rnacentral:rRNA from 1 species
GACGAACGCUGGCGGCGUGCUUAACACAUGCAAGUCGAACGAAGUGGCGAACGGGUGAGUAACGCGUAAUCAACCUGCCCUUCAGAGGGGGACAACAGUAGGAAACGACUGCUAAUACCGCAUACUGAAGGAGGGGAUUGUGUCUGAUUAGCUAGUUGGAGGGGUAAAGGCCCACCAAGGCGAUGCUCAGUAGCCGGUCUGGGAGGAUGAACGUCCACAAUGGGGCUGGGAACCGGCCCAGACUCCUACGGGAGGCAGCAGUGGGGGAUCUUCCGCAAUGGACGAAAGUCUGACGGAGCAACGCCGCGUGAGUGAUGACGGCCUUCGGGUUGUAAAGCUCUGUUAAUCGGGACGCGGUACCGGAAUAGAAAGCCACUGCUAACUACGUGCCAGCAGCCGCGGUAAUAC